UACGUAGGGGGCUAGCGUUGUCCGGAAUCAUUGGGCGUAAAGCGCGUGUAGGCGGUCCGGUAAGUCCGCUGUAAAAGUCGGGGGCUCAACCCUCGGAUGCCGGUGGAUACUGUCGGGCUUGAGUACGGAAGAGGCGAGUGGAAUUCCUGGUGUAGCGGUGAAAUGCGCAGAUAUCAGGAGGAACACCAAUUGCGAAGGCAGCUCGCUGGGACGUUACUGACGCUGAGACGCGAAAGCGUGGGGAGCAAACAGG
rnacentral:rRNA from 1 species